AACGAACGCUGGCGGCAUGCCUAACACAUGCAAGUCGAACGAGACCUUCGGGUAUCGUGGCGCACGGGUGCGUAACGCGGGGGGACCUGGCCUUGGGUUCGGAAUAACCCCCCGAAAGGGGUGCUAAUACCGGAUAAUGUCUUCGGACCAAAGAUUUAUCGCCUUUGUAAGGGCCCGCGUUGGAUUAGCUAGUUGGUAGGGUAAAAGCGUACCAAGGCGACGAGCCGUAGCGGGUCUGAGAGGCUGAUCCGCCACACUGGGACUGAGACACGGCCCAGACUCCUACGGGAGGCAGCAGUGGGGAAUAUUGGACAAUGGGCGAAAGCCUGAUCCAGCACUGCCGCGUGAGUGAUGAAGGCCUUAGGGUUGUAAAGCUCUUUUACCCGGGAUGAUAAUGACAGUACCGGGAGAAUAAGCUCCGGCUAACUCCGUG
rnacentral:rRNA from 1 species